UAAUAAGUGUUCUACUGCACUUUUUAAACAAGUACUCACCUUGUGUGCAAUGUUUGCUGUCGAGUCGUUUAUUCGUCUCGACAGCACAAUACCAACCUUUUAUUGUAAAUUUUUUGUCUGAAGCUAUUUCGAAUAUAUAAUUCUAAAUA
rnacentral:misc_RNA from 1 species